ensembl:lncRNA
UUAUUUUACUUUUUUAAUUUCUUAAAUUUUUAUUAUUUUUACUAUUUCGCAUUUUUUAAACUUAAUAUAUACUUUUGUAAUAUACUCAUACUGUUUUACAGCAUACUGUUAUAAAAAAUUCUCCAAAAAAAAAAAAAAAAAAUUUGUUUUUAUCAUAAUAACGUUAUUAUUACUGCAUACACAUAUUAAAAUUAAUGGCCAAGCCAAAAAAAAAUAUAUUUAUUUUUUUUUUAUUUUAUUUAUUUUAAGUAUAAUACAUACUUUUGUAAUAUAUUCAUAAUUAUUUUUACAACAAUAUUGUAAAAACAGAACAAAUCUGUACAUAUAAACGUAUAUUUUAUUAUAUAUAAAUGUAUUUUUUUAUUAUUUAUUUGCUAAAAACGGUGAGAAAUAUCAUUAUAAAACCCAUAACAACAAUGAUAAUCGAACUAUGUGGUACCAAGAAAAGUAGUAAAAUCGAAGAGGAGGAACUAACCCGUAUAGUUAAUAAGUUCAAUGAAAAUAGUAACAAAUUUCCAACAGUUAGAAGGUCUUACAGAUUAAAAAAAAAAAAUGCUGAUACUGGUGAUACUGGUGAUACUGGUGAUACUGGUGAUACUGGUGAUACUGGUGAUAAUGGUGAUACGGGUGAUAAUGGCUAUUAUAGUUCUUCUGAAAAUUCUGAUUCUAGUAAAUAUAUCUAUUUUGAUAAAGCUCACAAUCGUUUUUGCAAGUUUGGUAAAAAUGCAUUUAUAAACAGUUAUUUAAAAAAAAUAUAUGAACAACAAACAUGUAUCCCCAUUAACAUAAAAGACUUAUUAUUUCAGUUAGAAAACUGUAAUGAAAAUAAUGAGGAAUACUAUGAAAAUAAAAUUAAAAAAUAUAUAAAUAGAUAUUUAUCUUCACAUUAUUUGAUAGGCACUUUGGAUGAAGUGAAUUUGGAGUAUGAAUGUUAUAUAAAAGAAAUGCAAAGCAUUUUUAAUACUAGAAUGAAAAAGAAAUGGUGGUUGAGCUAUGACAAUACAUGUACAGACAGUAGUAAUAUUACUGAAAGUUGUAACAAAAGUAAUGUCAACACAUGUGACAAGAGCUAUUACAAUAAUGAUUAUAAAACCUCUACUUAUACGAAUUUUAUCACAUUAAAAGAUAUAGUUCCUUCAAAACCCCAUUUAAAAUAUAUAUAUCGGUAUAACGCACAUUUUUUACUAACAAACCGUAAGCAUAUCACAUAUGUUUUGAAUAUUUUGAAUAAAAACAGAAAAAUAAAUAUAAAAAAAAUACUAAAUGAAACAUUGUCUAAAUAUAAAAUUUAAAAUGAAUUGGAUAUACCUUAUGGGCCCCUUUUUGAUUCAGGUUUUAUGAACGAUACAUGAGAAAAUGGUGUUUGUUAUUGUCAUAGAGACAUAUAGCUUUACAUAUUUUAAAGAGUCGUUGGACACAAGUAAAUAUAUAGUUAAAAAAUUAAUUGACAUAAAUAAUAUAAUCUUCAAGUCAGAACAACUUAAUUCGUUUUUUACUCAUGUUUUCUUUUGUUUUGCCGUUAGUAACUUACAAUGACACUAUCAUGCGAAGUUUUUUAAAAUAAUUAAAUAAUUUUUCAAAGUUGUUUAAAAUGUGUUUGCGCAUUUUUGUAUCACUAUGUAUGUUCGCAAGUGUGUACAAAAAAUAUUACAUAAUGUUGACAAUAUAUUUAUUAUAUGCAUUUAUGUCAACUUUUUUUUUAUCAUCUAAAUUAAUGGGAACGUUGUAAAAGAGAGUCUUACUUUUUUUUUAUUUCCAGUUUUCAUUUUCCAUUUUUCUUUUUCGUAUAUAUCUGUUUUGUAUACAAAAAUUUAUGUAUUCAUAUUAAACUAACUUAUAACACUUUUAUUAAAUAUAUA